CGCCGGACUGGAACAGGUAAAUCACCCGCUUUGCGCGCGGAUUCAGGUGGGGCAGCCCGGGCCGCAUGCUCGACGCGGGCGCCGGCGCC
rnacentral:tRNA from 1 species